AUGGAAGCCGUAAGCCGUAGCGGGCGGCAAAACUCCGAAUCUUGACGGAUUCCUUGAAACACCCGCGGUUUGCGAGUAAA
rnacentral:sRNA from 1 species